AGCAUCUUUUACAGGGAAGGUCUUUAUUUGGAAAAAUAAUCAACAAUGCUAGCGGUAUAGUACAGUUUACAUCAAAUGAAAUUGUCAAAUGUGAAGGAAUGGCAAGAAACAAGGCAGACUGGACAUAGGGCGCACACAACACUGUGGAGAGACCACAUGUCAGGAGUCUACUGGAAGGCUUUUAAGAUGCCGCCUCCACAACAUAAAGCCUGGUCUAUUCACACCUCGGAGCUGCCAUACGAAGACCCAACACGCCAAAGUGGGCAGACUGAGCGCCAGCUGUUUCCAAAGAUCAUUGUUACAAGAAUAUCUUAGCGCUUCCUUCUACUUCAGUAAACAAACUCACAGCCCAGCAAAUCUUAUCGAGGAUUUCAGGGAGGACGGAGGGCCAGAUCCUGUUUAUUUGUCUGUCGGGAUUGUUGACAGCGAGGAAGCGUGAGGUCACCUGCUAGCGGCUAUCGACAUCAUCAACACUUCAUCGGCGGUGCUACAACAACAAAAAAUAUCCCCGCUUUUCAUCGCAGAGAGCUUUCUGCGGGAAAAAAAUGCUCACAAUGAACAUCUCCAUUUACUUCGUCACGUGAAUAUUUGUUAAAGUGAACAUAUGGGAAUUUGACUUUAUGUGGGGGGCUCUUCAUCCUUAAGCUACUGGAGGUCAAACACAGACACAACUCUCAGCGAC